rnacentral:rRNA from 1 species
GAUGAACGCUGGCGGCGUGCCUAAUACAUGCAAGUCGAGCGAACAGACGAGGAGCUUGCUCCUCUGACGUUAGCGGCGGACGGGUGAGUAACACGUGUAUAACCUACCUAUCAGACUGGGAUAAUUUCGGGAAACCGGAGCUAAUACCGGAUAAUAUAUUGAACCGCAUGGUUCAAUAGUGAAAGACGGUUUUGCUGUCACUUAUAGAUGGAUCCGCGCCGCAUUAGCUAGUUGGUAAGGUAACGGCUUACCAAGGCAACGAUGCGUAGCCGACCUGAGAGGGUGAUCGGCCACACUGGAACGGAGACACGGUCCAGACUCCUACGGGAGGCAGCAGUAGGGAAUCUUCCGCAAUGGGCGAAAGCUUGACGGAGCAACGCCGCGUGAGUGAUGAAGGUCUUCGGAUCGUAAAACUCUGUUAUUAGGGAAGAACAAAUGUGUAAGUAACUAUGCACGUCUUGACGGUACCUAAUCAGAAAGCCACGGCUAACUACGUG